UUAUAAGAGACAGCAGUCGCCGCGGGAAUACAGAGGGUGCGAGCGUUAAUCGGAUUUACUGGGCGUAAAGCGUGCGUAGGCGGCUUCUUAAGUCGGAUGUGAAAUCCCUGAGCUUAACUUAGGAAUUGCAUUCGAUACUGGGAAGCUAGAGUAUGGGAGAGGAUGGUAGAAUUCCAGGUGUAGCGGUGAAAUGCGUAGAGAUCUGGAGGAAUACCGAUGGCGAAGGCAGCCAUCUGGCCUAAUACUGACGCUGAGGUACGAAAGCAUGGGGAGCAAACAGGAUUAGAUACCCCUGUAGUCCCUGUCUCUUAUAU
rnacentral:rRNA from 1 species